rnacentral:tRNA from 1 species
UUGAAGUUAGUUUAAGGAAAGCGUUAGUUUGUGGUACUAAAGAUAGUCAUUUGACUACUUCUAU